rnacentral:misc_RNA from 1 species
CAAAAUUGAAAUCAAAUCAAGUGGAUUUGAUUAUAAAACUGAAAUACAUGGUAAGUGGAUACUGGUUGGAGUAUUUACUCAAAAUUUAAUAUCACAAUUGGGCAAUAAGCUAAUGGGAAAUCCAAAGAAACGUACAACUUAGAAAUUAAAAAAAUAGUAGCAUAUUUUGACAAAUUAAUUGCUCUUUCAAGAACAAAUAGAAGCAUCACAGUAGCACAUAUAAUUCAAUCUAGCAUUACAAAAUAAAGAUGUAGGCAAGAUUGGUUAUACAAAGAAUCCAGCCAAGUUUCAG